rnacentral:lncRNA from 1 species
GACCCACAGACUGAAAACGCGGCCAGGCGGUGCCCGAAACAUUAUCCUAGCCUCCAAAGAGGCCAGUUUGGCUUUAUUACACGGGAGAUGUAAUUUAUUGGGAGAAAUGUUUGGGUUCGUGUGUCGGAUGGUGGAGAGUCAGAUUUGGAGUUCCCUAGGGAUCUCCGAGGAGAAGGUGUGUUAAGGAAAUCACCAAGUCCCAGAGUGUAGACAAGCCCGAUCCCUUCGCAGCAGAAGCAGAUGUUCACAAAGCAACUGACCAGGCCAGGUGUGUCCUUCAAGGCUACCUGCAUUCAACAGAGGCGACCACAGCCCAGACCCAUCCUUCUUGGGAGAAUUUCAAGAUGCUCCACAUAGUGGUGCCUAGCGCUCUGUGCACUCAGAGGCUAGAAGAAAAGAUACAGAGGUCCUCUUUCAAGGAGAGGCCCUGAUGUUUCUAUUCUUACAAGGAUUCUUUGGUAAUAAAUACAGUGAAAACACCGUCACCGUAGAGAUAAUACUUAAUGCUCAAGAGGUACGUAGCAGAGAUUGCAUUCCAAUCAAGGACUUCCGUAACCCUGUCUACCAAGCCAGUAUCACCUGUAGGCCAGUUCACCUUCAUCCAGUCACUUUACAGCACUUGAGUGUUUGCUGUCCGCUCAAUUAAAAUCCUACUCUGGUGGGAAAAACCAGAUUUCCAAAUGGGGACUUUAUUGAUUCAAUAAAAUUUAAGAAAUUCUGCUUAUGGAAAAACUCAUUAACCCAAACUAAUAAAUACGAGUUUACCCU